UUCUCAUGGUAGUCUUCAGCAAAGGCUCAAAGCCCACCUCCGCAAGGCUGGAGGAGAUCCAGCGUCGUCCGAGAUUCAACUGAAGCGGCUACAGCGGCAGCCACAGCAGAGUUCUGGCGGAGUUGCGGAGGUAGUUCUGGCGGUGAGAUAGAGAGAGAGUUGAACGACAGCCAAGCUGGAGUCCGACAGAGUUACAGAGGGAGUUCUGACGGAGGGAUGGCCUUUGAGACAACUCCUUGUCAACAAUGCAUUUUUACAUGGACAGUUGACCGAAACAUUCUAUAUGAUGCAACCCGUGGGAUUCAAAGAUGCCUUGAAACCUGCUAAUCAUGUUUGCAUGUUAAAUAAUGUCAUCUAUGGAGCAGGCUGCUCGAGCCUGGUACUCGGACUAAAAAUGACAAUCAUGAAUCUUGGUUUUCAAAAUUUGAAAGUGGACUCCUCUUUGUUUGUAUAUCACCAAUAUUCUAUUUUGUGCUAUUUAUUGGUAUGUGUGGAUGAUCUAGUUAUCACUGGCAGUGACAUGAACUUUGUGUCUUAUAUCAUUGAACAAUUUCUGUAAUGAUCUCAAAAAUAUAUAUAUGAUGAAAGUAAUAAAAAUGAUCAUUAAGUUAA